GCGGAUGUGGCGCAGCUGGUAGCGCGUCGCCAUGCCACGGCGAAGGUCGCGGGUUCGACCCCCGUCAUCCGCUCCA
rnacentral:tRNA from 2 species